rnacentral:rRNA from 1 species
GACAGGUGGUGCAUGGUUUGUCGUCAGCUCGUGUCGUGAGAUGUUGGGUUAAGUCCCGCAACGAGCGCAACCCUCGCCUCUAGUUGCCAGCAUUCGGUUGGGCACUCUAGAGGGACUGCCGGCGACAAGUCGGAGGAAGGUGGGAUGACGUCAAAUCAUCAUGCCCCUUAUGACCUGGGCUACACACGUGCUACAAUGGGCGGUACAAAGGGCUGCGAACCCGCGAGGGGGAGCGAAUCCCAAAAAGCCGCUCUCAGUUCGGAUUGCAGGCUGCAACUCGCCUGCAUGAAGCCGGAAUCGCUAGUAAUCGCGGAUCAGCAUGCCGCGGUGAAUACGUUCCCGGGCCUU